rnacentral:rRNA from 1 species
UACGGAGGGGGCUAGCGUUGUUCGGAAUUACUGGGCGUAAAGCGCGCGUAGGCGGCUUUGUAAGUUAGAGGUGAAAGCCCGGAGCUCAACUCCGGAAUUGCCUUUAAGACUGCAUCGCUUGAAUCAUGGAGAGGUGAGUGGAAUUCCGAGUGUAGAGGUGAAAUUCGUAGAUAUUCGGAAGAACACCGGUGGCGAAGGCGGCUCACUGGCCAGUUUCUGACGC